rnacentral:rRNA from 1 species
GAUGAACGCUGGCGGCGUGCCUAAUACAUGCAAGUCGAGCGAACGGACGAGAAGCUUGCUUCUCUGAUGUUAGCGGCGGACGGGUGAGUAACACGUGGAUAACCUACCUAUAAGACUGGGAUAACUUCGGGAAACCGGAGCUAAUACCGGAUAAUAUUUUGAACCGCAUGGUUCAAAAGUGAAAGACGGUCUUGCUGUCACUUAUAGAUGCAUCCGCGCUGCAUUAGCUAGUUGGUAAGGUAACGGCUUACCAAGGCAACGAUGCAUAGCCGACCUGAGAGGGGGAUCGGCGACACUGGAACGGAGACACGGUCCAGACUCCUACGGGAGGGAGCAGUAGGGAAUCUUCCGCAAUGGGCGAAAGCCUGACGGAGCAACGGCGCGUGAGUGAUGGAGGCCUUCGGAGCGUAAAACUCUGUUAUUAGGGAAGAACAUAUGUGUAAGGAACUGUGCACAUCUUGACGGUACCUAAUCAGAAAGCCACGGCUAACUACGUG